rnacentral:rRNA from 1 species
AUUGAACGCUGGCGGCAUGCCUUACACAUGCAAGUCGAACGGCAGCACGGGUGCUUGCCCCUGGUGGCGAGUGGCGAACGGGUGAGUAAUACAUCGGAACAUGUCCUGUAGUGGGGGAUAGCCCGGCGAAAGCCGGAUUAAUACCGCAUACGAUCUACGGCUGAAAGCGGGGGACCUUCGGGCCUCGCGCUAUAUGGUUGGCCGAUGGCUGAUUAGCUAGUUGGUGGGGUAAAGGCCUACCAAGGCGACGAUCAGUAGCUGGUCUGAGAGGACGACCAGCCACACUGGGACUGAGACACGGCCCAGACUCCUACGGGAGGCAGCAGUGGGGAAUUUUGGACAAUGGGCGAAAGCCUGAUCCAGCAAUGCCGCGUGUGUGAAGAAGGCCUUCGGGUUGUAAAGCACUUUUGUCCGGAAAGAAAUCCUUGGCCCUAAUACGGUCGGGGGAUGACGGUACCGGAAGAAUAAGCACCGGCUAACUACGUG